CCCUUCUUCAUCGCGGAACCCCAAUUAUGCGUGGUAGCAACCUUACGCAGCUACGUGACGGCUACCGCCUCUCUUCGCCCGACUCCCUCCGGUCAACUACUGAUUUCCUACGUCAAACCCUACAAUCCAGUUUCCUCUACCACUCUCGCUAGAUGGGUACGCUGGAUCUUGUCACUGGCGGGCGUGGAUGCCACUUUCGGGGCUCAUUCGGUGAGAGGCGCGGCUGCUUCUUCGGCCUAUGCAGCCGGAGCAUCACUAUCAGAUGUUCUACGCACGGCCGACUGG